CUCGUUAUUCAGCUAACGGUAGCCUAAGGAUAGUGCGUCACUGGUAACGGUGAGGUAUGAAGCAUCCCUACAAUGUAGUCAUGUCAUCGACAUCGGGUGUCCCCGCGAGGGUAAACCUGGAUUCUACCAGCAACAGGUGGAUGAGACG
rfam:Klebsiella pneumoniae strain NK29 plasmid pK29, complete sequence.